GGGGGGGGGGGGGGGGGGGGCGGGGGGGGGGGGGUCGGGGGGGAGGGGGGGUGGGGGGGGGGGGUGCGGGGGGGGGGGGGCGGGCGGGUGAGGGAUACAUCGGGCUCUUCUUGUUCGGGGGGGGGAACGUAGGGGAGCGUGUGCUCGUACCGGCUACGGCCUACGGGUGGGAGGAGGGGGACUUCGGACCUUUGGGCGUUGAAAGAGCCGAUGUCGGAUUAGCCAGUUGGCGGGGUAAAGGCCCACCAAGGCGACGAUCCGUAGCUGGUCUGAGAGGAUGAUCAGCCACACUGGAACUGAGACACGGUCCAGACUCCUACGGGAGGCAGCAGUGGGGAAUAUUGGACAAUGGGCGCAAGCCUGAUCCAGCCAUACCGCGUGGGUGAAGAAGGCCUUCGGGUUGUAAAGCCCUUUUGUUGGGAAAGAAAAGCAGCAGGUUAAUACCCCGCUGUUCUGACGGUACCCAAAGAAUAAGCACCGGCUAACUUCGUG
rnacentral:rRNA from 1 species